rnacentral:rRNA from 1 species
GAGACCUCAGGUCAGGCGGGGCUACCCGCUGAACUUAAGCAUAUCAAUAAGCGGAGGAA